UCCUCAUCCAAGCAUACACAGUGGAGAAAUCGCUCUAAAUGCAAUCCAACUUCGGCAUGCGAAAGUUUCUACUGGCGAUGUUGUACCGGUGAUCAGAUUUAUUCCACCUGAUGAGUCUAGCCUGGCAUUGCUCACUUUAGAGUUAGAGUUUGUGAAAAAGGGUACUAAAAGUGAAUAGGUUGAUGCUGUUCUCUCGGCCAAUCAUCUUAGAAAGAGGUUUAUUUACCAGAGUGAAGAAAAUGGCAUGGAGAUGACAAAUUUCUCAGAAUUUGAAGGAGUUUUUUGAAAGACCAACUAGACAAACACCUAACUAAAUUGGAGAGAGUAUAGCUGAUGGCCAACAAGUUGUUUAACUAAAAUAUGGCCAACAACUUUAAUGGUGUAAGGUUUGUAAUUCUUCAGUUGAUGUGGAAAGGCAUGCUAUUGACUUUAUGGAGGCUGCUAAAAAGCUUCAAUUCCAUUUAAUUGGCCUGCAACGUGAAGAUGAACCAAGCAGGGCUGAAACACUGAGAAAGGUUAUUGCAUGAUUUUUUGAAAGUUAAAACGGAGCUUAUCAACAAACAUGAGAAGUUGAUUCAAGGGUGGAGAAAAGAAUUGAAAGACCAACUAGACAAACAGUACCUAAUUGAAUUGGGAGAGAGUAUAGCUGAUAGCCAACAGGUUGUUUAACUAAAAUAUGACUUUCGCAGGUUGUCAUUGGCAUAAUUUUAUUAGUCUUUUGUACAACAUGUAGAGCAUUUUGUUCAGCUUUGUUAGAAGUGAAAGUGUUGGUCUAGGAUUGACGAAAGGAAUUGUAUGACUAUGUUUUGAUAAGCAAAUCAGUUUUUCUUUGUUGACAAUCUUGUUUCAUGUAUUGUGAUAACAGUUGAAUUAAAAUUAGACACAGAAACAUUAGCUUUUGCUCUC